rnacentral:lncRNA from 1 species
GAGCUUCCGAGAACUCACCUUCCUCCAUUCCUUCACCAACGUACCAAUGCACAAAAGCACGCUUUGAGUACAUCAGAUCAAACUUGGUAUCAAUUCGGGAGAACACCUCUGCGACACUGGUUGAAUUGGAGAUCAUGCAAACAGCCCUUUGAACCUUAGCAAGGUCUCCACCAGGAACAACAGUGGGUGGCUGGUAGUUGAUACCACACUUGAAACCAGUAGGGCACCAGUCAACAAACUGAAUAGUACGCUUGGUCUUAAUAGUAGCAACAGCUGCAUUCACAUCCUUGGGAACAACAUCACCACGGUACAUCAGGCAGCAAGCCAUAUACUUUCCAUGCCUGGGAUCACACUUUGCCAUCAUAGAAGAAGGCUCAAAUGCACUGUUCGUGAUUUCUGCCACAGAAAGCUGCUCGUGGUAUGCUUUCUCAGCUGAGAUGACAG